GCAAAAACAAGACUUUCUGAGUUACUCACACAUGUGUUAAUAAUAAAAGCACUGACCUGCCCUGCCACAGAAACACUGGCAUGUGUGUUAUCACGCUACAGAGAAACAUGACGCCCAAUGAGAGCAGUGCAUUUGAAUGCAGUGCUCAGAUGAGGACAGCAGGGGGCAGCAGACCUCCACACAUAAAACACACCAGUUUCUUUAGCCUUUAUUCACAUCACAGCAAGUGGAGAUGAAACACUUAUCUGUCACACGAGCCUUAGAGCAACGUAAAACCAAUCCAAGCACACGGACGUCUCCACAGUUGUGUUUGCAGUGGAAAUAAAUGAAGUCUGAAUCACAGAGACUGCAAGUCACAGCGCCAUUGCCGGCCGGUCUGGUUCUCGUUCAGCGAUCGAAAGUAUGUGAUGCUGUCCUGAGGAGUAGCGUCCCCAGUGCUGCCUGAUGUUGCAUGUACUGAACUGAAGCACGUCCCUCCCCUAUGGCACAGCUGCCUAAUUGAGAAGACUGGCUGCACGAUGAUCUAAACACAUUAUCCUCUAAUCUUCCGUCUCCCUGUAGACGGUCGGCACAUAUGUGAUCAGCCUCUCCUUCUCCACGCCAGAGACCCGAGACGUGAGGGAGAGGAACAAUCUAGAGCUUCCUCCCCAGACGGCCAUGAUGAAAUGUGAUCCGAGCAGACGAUUACAGAGACGACUACAAUCACUGUCACUGUCUGAGACGACGACGACGACCUCCAGAAAUCAUAAAAGAAAUCAAAUCAAAUCUGUCACUUUGAGCUCAAGAAUAAUCUCAGGGGUUCAGUAAGACCUCAGGCUGGUUUUAUGUUAUUGAUUGAAAAGUGCAGUCCACAAAGCAAGCCUAAAAUAUUUCAGGAAAACAAACAGAGAUGUCUAAUUCAGAUCAGAAAUACACUUUAUAUUAC